rnacentral:rRNA from 1 species
AGAGUUUGAUCAUGGCUCAGGAUGAACGCUAGCUACAGGCUUAACACAUGCAAGUCGAGGGGCAUCAGUUUGGUUUGCUUGCAAACCAAAGCUGGCGACCGGCGCACGGGUGAGUAACACGUAUCCAACCUGCCUCAUACUCGGGGAUAGCCUUUCGAAAGAAAGAUUAAUAUCCGAUAGCAUAUAUUUCCCGCAUGGGUUUUAUAUUAAAGAAAUUCGGUAUGAGAUGGGGAUGCGUUCCAUUAGUUGUUGGCGGGGUAACGGCCACCGAAGACUACGAUGGAUAGGGGUUCUGAGAGGAGGUCCCCANAUUGGAACUGAGACACGGUCCAAACUCCUACGGAGCA